rnacentral:lncRNA from 1 species
ACUAGUCCUUCUUCGCAGCUGGGGUUUCUUCUUUAGGUAACCUAUACAGAAAAGCACGGUGAACACAAUGAUCAAAAAAUUGCAUGAAACAUGAAACGGAAAGGGGCUCAUCGAAGGAAUUUUUGGGUUUUGGCUGCAGCAGCUCUACCAGGCUUUACCCACAGCUUCUAGUUAACCCAUCGUCCCUCUUGCAACGAUUUGGCCACAGGGAUGCUCGGAAUCGAAUUUCGAAUAGGUAAGGAAAAUUUUUUACCUUUUUUGGCGGUUGGCAGUGGCUCUAGUGUGCCUGCGGUCGACGGUCGGCGGUCAGCAAUCAGUCUCCUUCGCCGGUGUCUAGUUCUUUUUCUCCGACAGGGGUU